rnacentral:rRNA from 1 species
AACGUCGUGAGACAGUUCGGUCCAUAUCCGGUGCAGGCGUAAGAGCAUUGAGAGGAGCCCUCCUUAGUACGAGAGGACCGGGAGGGACGCACCGCUGGUGUGCCAGUUAUCGUGCCAACGGUAAACGCUGGGUAGCUAAGUAUGGAGUGGAUAACCGCUGAAAGCAUCUAAGUGGGAAGCCCACCUCAAGAUGAGUAUUCUCAUCACGAAAGUGAGUAAGGUCACGGUAAGACUAACCGUUUAAUAGGCAUCAAGUGUAAGUAUAGUAAUAUAUGUGCUGAGAUGUGCUAACAGACCGAGGACUUG